CCAGGGAAGAAGGAGCCCCUGGAGAAGCUGUACCAGGUGGGGCUGCUGCUGCUGCUGCUGGAGACAUGGAGGACAGCAGCAAGGAUGACAACCUCUUCCUGCACCUGGCCAGCGGGAGCUGGCGAUGAUGGACUUUGAUUCUGGCACCUUCUUCAAAGCCAGGCUCCACAGGGAAUUUUCAGGAAGCAUUCUAGGUGGGGUCCAGUCUGGAUCAGGAAGUGCUUGGGACCAGCUGUGGCGUGGAUGGGCCGUGCCCUUGGAGAAGACUGAGGACAUCGUUUGGGACCAGCUUUUCUUGUGGCAGCGGAUGGUGUGAGCCGGGCUCUGCGGAUGCUGAGGCUGCUCUGGGCUCUGCCAGGGCUCUGCUGGGCUCAGCACCGGGCCAGGAUCAGCCAAAGAAGAAACGCUGUGACCUGCAGCAGAGACUUGAGCAUUUUGGCAAUGCAGCUCAAGUCUGCAGAGUGUCCACCUCCAAGGGAAAACAUGACACCCCCCAAAAAUUAAACUUGUUCCAUGACUUCUGAAAUGAAA